GGCGGCGUGCUUAACACAUGCAAGUCGAACGGAAAGGCUCCUUGCUUGCAAGGGGUACUCGAGUGGCGAACGGGUGAGUAACACGUGGGUGAUCUGCCUUGCACUUCGGGAUAAGCCUGGGAAACUGGGUCUAAUACCGGAUAGGACCAUGCUUUAGUGUGUGUGGUGGAAAGUUUUUCGGUGCAAGAUGAGCCCGCGGCCUAUCAGCUUGUUGGUGGGGUAAUGGCCUACCAAGGCGACGACGGGUAGCCGGCCUGAGAGGGUGUACGGCCACAUUGGGACUGAGACACGGCCCAGACUCCUACGGGAGGCAGCAGUGGGGAAUAUUGCACAAUGGGCGCAAGCCUGAUGCAGCGACGCCGCGUGGGGGAUGACGGCCUUCGGGUUGUAAACUCCUUUCGCUAGGGAAGAAGCCACUUUGUGGUGACGGUACCUGGA
rnacentral:rRNA from 1 species